ACUCCUACGGGAGGCAGCAGUGAGGGAUAUUGCACAAUGGGGGAAACCCUGAUGCAGCGACGCCGCGUGGGUGAUGAAGGCUUUCGGGUCGUAAAACCCUUUUUGGCAUGACGAGAACGGACGGUAGUGCCAGAAUAAGUCUCGGCUAACUACGUGCCAGCAGCCGCGGUAAAACGUAGGAGGCAAGCGUUAUCCGGAGUUACUGGGCGUAAAGGGUGCGUAGGCGGCUCAUCAAGUGGGACGUGAAAGCUCACGGCUAAACUGUGAGAGGACGACUCAGACUGAAGGGCUAGAGGGUGUCAGAGGCGUGCGGAAUUCGGGGUGUAGCGGUGAAAUGUGUAGAGAUCCCGAGGAACACCAGUGGUGCAAACGGCGCGCUGGGACACAACUGACGCUGAAGCACGAAAGCGUGGGGAGCGAACGGG
rnacentral:rRNA from 1 species